rnacentral:rRNA from 1 species
GACGAACGCUGGCGGCGUGCCUAACACAUGCAAGUCGAGCGGAGUCGAUCGACGGAAGCCUUCGGGCGGAAGAUGGUUGACUUAGCGGCGGAUGGGUGAGUAACGCGUGGGCAACCUGCCUCGAAGACCGGGAUAACAGCCCGAAAGGGCUGCUAAUACCGGAUGUGGUCAAGGAUCCGCAUGGAUUUUUGAUUAAAGGGGAAACCCGUUUCGAGAUGGGCCCGCGUCCUAUCAGCUAGUUGGUGAGGUAAAAGCUCACCAAGGCGACGACGGGUAGCCGGCCUGAGAGGGUGACCGGCCACACUGGAACUGAGACACGGUCCAGACUCCUACGGGGGGCGGCAGUGGGGAAUCUUCCACAAUGGGCGAAAGCCUGAUGGAGCGACGCCGCGUGAGCGAAGAAGGCCUUCGGUUGUAAAGCUCUGUCUGGAGGGACGAAGGAAGUGACGGUACCUCCGGAGGAAGCCACGGCUAACUACGUGCCAGCAGCCGCGGUAAAGUAGUGUGUA